rfam:Ipomoea nil DNA, scaffold: scaffold2283, cultivar: Tokyo-kokei standard.
GGGUGUUUGGUCUAGUGGUAUGAUUCUUGUUUCGAGUGCAAGAGGUCGUGAGUUUGAUUUUCACAACACCCC